AAAUCCUCCAUUUUAUCCACAGAACAGAUACAACAUAUGCAGUGGCAGUGCUAACUUCCUCCCACUGCUCUGCUGCAGUUUGGCAGCCUCAGCUGCAGGUACUACCCUAUGCUGUUAGAGGGUAAUU
rnacentral:sRNA from 1 species